rnacentral:rRNA from 1 species
GACGAACGCUGGCGGCGUGCUUAACACAUGCAAGUCGAACGGAAAGGCCCUGCUUGCAGGGUACUCGAGUGGCGAACGGGUGAGUAACACGUGGGUGAUCUGCCCUGCACUUCGGGAUAAGCCUGGGAAACUGGGUCUAAUACCGGAUAGGAGCCAUUUUUAGUGUGAUGGUUGGAAAGUUUUUUCGGUGUAGGAUGAGCUCGCGGCCUAUCUGCUUGUUGGUGGGGUAAUGGCCUACCAAGGCGGCGACGGGUAGCCGGCCUGAGAGGGUGGACGGCCACAUUGGGACUUAGGUACGGCCCAGACUCCUACGGGAGGCAGCAGUGGGGAAUAUUGCACAAUGGGCGCAAGCCUGAUGCAGCGACGCCGCGUGGGGGAUGACUGCCUUCGGGGUGUAAACUCCUUUCGCUAGGGACUAAGCUUUUUGUGACGGUACCUAGAUAAGAAGCACCGGCUAACUACGUG